rnacentral:rRNA from 1 species
GUGAGGAAUAUUGGACAAUGGGCGCAAGCCUGAUCCAGCCAUGCCGCGUGCAGGAAGACGCAUCUAUGGUGUGUAAACUGCUUUUGUACGGGAAGAAACACUCCCUCGUGAGGGAGCUUGACGGUACCGUAAGAAUAAGGAUCGGCUAACUCCGUGCCAGCAGCCGCGGUAAUACGGAGGAUCCAAGCGUUAUCCGGAAUCAUUGGGUUUAAAGGGUCCGUAGGCGGUUUAAUAAGUCAGUGGUGAAAGCCCAUCGCUCAACGAUGGAACGGCCAUUGAUACUGUUAGACUUGGAUUACAAGGAAGUAACUAGAAUAUGUAGUGUAGCGGUGAAAUGCUUAGAUAUUACAUGGAAUACCAAUUGCGAAGGCAGGUUACUACUUGUGGAUUGACGCUGAUGGACGAAAGCGUGGGGAGCGAACAGGAUUAGAAACCCCUGUAGUCC